rnacentral:rRNA from 1 species
CUACGGGUGGCUCCAGUGGGGAAUUUUGGACAAUGGGGGCAACCCUGAUCCAGCCAUUCCGCGUGAGUGAAGAAGGCCUUCGGGUUGUAAAGCUCUUUCGGCAGGAACGAAACGGUGGGGGCUAAUACCCUCUACUAAUGACGGUACCUGAAGAAGAAGCACCGGCUAACUACGUGCCAGCAGCCGCGGUAAUACGUAGGGUGCGAGCGUUAAUCGGAAUUACUGGGCGUAAAGCGUGCGCAGGCGGUUUUGUAAGACAGGUGUGAAAUCCCCGGGCUUAACCUGGGAACUGCGCUUGUGACUGCAAGACUUGAGUGCGGCAGAGGGGGGUGGAAUUCCACGUGUAGCAGUGAAAUGCGUAGAGAUGUGGAGGAACACCGAUGGCGAAGGCAGCCCCCUGGGUCGACACUGACGCUCAUGCACGAAAGCGUGGGUAGCAAACAGGAUUAGAUACCCGCGUAGUC